AUGUUCUAAAGGGAUGUCAUCAUUUACAAAAUGUCUUUGUUGAGUCUGAAUGGUUCAAACAAUAGCAAAAAAGGAUUAUUUCUCUCUUGGACAUUUCAAAGUACUAUGACACAAAAUAUCCAAGACUUGUUAUGGUGAGGAGCCAAGUGGAAUGGAAAGGACAGCUCAUCCCGGCGGCUGGGAGUGCAUGCACACACAUGCCCCCUUUUUCUUGCCUACUAACAGGAUCUAUAGAAGGCGUACAUAAUGAAGCAAGUUGCAAGACAAGUCCAAAUUCAAGAAGGUCAAGAAAUACACUCCAUCUCCAGAGAAAUCUAUGACUUUGAGUUGAAAUAUCUGAGGCCAACACUCCAAGCAAUUUUAAACAAGUGGUGACAGAAAUUACCAGACACACAUCAAGACUCAAGUAUAAAGCUAUACAAUUUAAGGAUGCUCAGCAAAUGUUACUGAAUUGACUGGGUAGUCCCUAAAGAGCUGAAGAAUAAAAGAUGUUAUGAGAAAUCCAACAAUACCAAAUAUAAAUUGCCUCAGGUUCUGAAAUAUUCAAUAAAGUAUUCUCACUGUAGUUCCUUCAGCUUAGCUGAUUUGGACUUUGGCUGUGAAAACAUUAUCCUCAGUGUUUAAAAGGUUGGAAAAUUCUACUGGGUCUUUGGCCCAACCUGGAAUUAAAUCCUGAUGCUUAGAACCUCAAAGUCUAAAAUCUUCUAUUGUCACUUUACAGAGCUAUUGAAACAUAUUAAUAAACUUGUAUCAUACUGA